UCUCAAAGGAGGCUCUUGGCGGUAAUGAAAAGAGCUACUGAAGAAAUAACUAUGGGUACUAUUUUAAAGAAAUUCAAAGUUCAAUCUAUGCACACAAACUCCACAAGGAAUGUUGUGGACAAGACGAUCACUAUGGGGAAGGUAGAGGGCUCAGUUCAGGCUGUCAGAACAGCACUAAAAAAGCUUGAGGAAGGAGGAAACAU